AACAGUUUUUGCUUCAUUGAAGGUAAAGAGUUUGAAUUAGAAAAUGCUAAGAUUAUGGAUAUUUAUGAAACUUUUUUAGAAAUUUUACAUUGUAUCAAUUUAGAUAACCUGGCUUGUGGUUGAUUUUACAGUACAAAGAUAUUUAAAAAGAGUGCUUACUUUUUCAUUGGGUUUGAUUUAUAAAUUUCAUUCAUGGAUAACAAUUUAUUCAUUAGAUUCUUGGAUUUGCAUCUUAAGAAACACUUGACUAACAGUUUCAUGCAAAUUGGCAACUGUGGGCUUUGCUCUUUAUUUGGCUCUAGCUGGAAAAUUGUUUGCCACAAGGUAUUGGGCAUGUAGUUUGGCUGCUUCCAAAUAAUAUCCAAAGUACAUUAUUACAUUUUCUUUCUAUGUUGAAAUAUCAUCAGAUGUGAAUGGCUUUCUAUUCUGUUAUUUUCUUUUCUAUUUGUUGAAAUUAAUUGUUUUCCUUGGAUUUUCUUAGGAAUUUCC
rnacentral:misc_RNA from 1 species